ensembl:snRNA U6 U6 spliceosomal RNA
GUGCUCACUUGGACAGCACAUACACUAAAAUUGGAACGAUACAGAGAUUAGCCAGGCUCCUGCACAAGGAUGACAUACAAAUUCGUGAACGAUUCCAUAGUAAA